AGGAUGAACGCUGGCGGCGUGCCUAACACAUGCAAGUCGAACGUGAAGCGUGUACUUGUACAGGCUGAAAGUGGCGAACGGGUGAGUAACACGUUGGUGACCUGCCCCGAGGCGAGGGAUAACUCCUUGAAAGAGGAGCUAAUACCUCAGAUGUCUAAGUGGUUAGAGGACUUAGACUAAAGUUGAGGCGGCUCGGGAGGGGCCUGCGGGCUAUCAGCUAGUUGGUGGGGUAAGAGCCUACCAAGGCGAAGACGGCGUAGGGGGCGUGAGAGCGUCGACCCCCCACGAAGGGAACUGAGAAACGGUCCCUACUCCUACGGGAGGCAGCAGUGAGGAAUAUUGAGCAAGUGGGCGACAAGCCUGACUCAGCAACGCCGCGUGGAUGAAGAAGGCCUUCGGGUUAGUAAAUUCCUUUUCUAGAGGAAGAUAAUGACGUACUCGAGGAAUAAGUUACCGACUAACGUACGUGCCGAGCGAGCCGAC
rnacentral:rRNA from 1 species